rnacentral:rRNA from 1 species
GACGAACGCUGGCGGCGUGCCUAAUACAUGCAAGUUGAGCGCUGAAGGUUGGUACUUGUACCAACUGGAUGAGCAGCGAACGGGUGCGUAACGCGUGGGGAAUCUGCCUUUGAGCGGGGGACAACAUUUGGAAACGAAUGCUAAUACCGCAUAAAAACUUUAAACACAAGUUUUAAGUUUGAAAGAUGCAAUUGCAUCACUCAAAGAUGAUCCCGCGUUGUAUUAGCUAGUUGGUGAGGUAAAGGCUCACCAAGGCGAUAAUACAUAGCCGACCUGAGAGGGUGAUCGGCCACAUUGGGACUGAGACACGGCCCAAACUCCUACGGGAGGCAGCAGUAGGGAAUCUUCGGCAAUGGACGAAAGUCUGACCGAGCAACGCCGCGUGAGUGAAGAAGGUUUUCGGAUCGUAAAACUCUGUUGGUAGAGAAGAACGUUGGUGAGAGUGGAAAGCUCAUCAAGUGACGGUAACUACCCAGAAAGGGACGGCUAACUACGUG